rnacentral:rRNA from 1 species
GACGAACGCUGGCGGCGUGCUUAACACAUGCAAGUCGAACGGAAAGGCCCUGCUUUUGUGGGGUGCUCGAGUGGCGAACGGGUGAGUAACACGUGAGUAACCUGCCCUUGACUUUGGGAUAACUUCAGGAAACUGGGGCUAAUACCGGAUAGGAGCUCCUGCUGCAUGGUGGGGGUUGGAAAGUUUCGGCGGUUGGGGAUGGACGCGCGGCUUAUCAGCUUGUUGGUGGGGUAGUGGCUUACCAAGGCUUUGACGGGUAGCCGGCCUGAGAGGGUGACCGGCCACAUUGGGACUGAGAUACGGACCAGACUCCUACGGGAGGCAGCAGUGGGGAAUAUUGCACAAUGGGCGGAAGCCUGAUGCAGCAACGCCGCGUGCGGGAUGACGGCCUUCGGGUUGUAAACCGCUUUCGCCUGUGACGAAGCGUGAGUGACGGUAAUGGGUAAAGAAGCACCGGCUAACUACGUG